rnacentral:ncRNA from 1 species
GACAGGCAAUCUGGAGAGCGCCGAACAUUGAGUUCAGCCACCGAAGGGGCACACGGACAACAUUCCACCGUAAAACUCUCAGGUAAAAGGACAGAGGGGUGAGG